UGGAGGACUGAGAAGGUUGAGCAGCUUGUGUUGUGCUGUUAUAACUGGUUAUAACCUCCAAGAGUAACAAACAAAUCACACAAAUUAACAGGCUCUGUCUCGAGCAGAGCUGACGUGUGUUUGUGAACAAAAU
ensembl:snoRNA small nucleolar RNA, H/ACA box 47